rnacentral:rRNA from 1 species
CCUACGGGUGGCAGCAGUCGAGAAUCAUGCACAAUGGGGGAAACCCUGAUGGCGCGACGCCGCGUGGGGGAAUGAAGGUCUGCGGAUUGUAAACUUCUUUUGUCAAGGGACAAAAUCAGGCUCGAGAGCCUGACCGAGGGUACUUGAAGAAAAAGCAUCGGCUAACUCCGUGCCAGCAGCCGCGGUAAUACGGAGGAUGCGAGCGUUAUCCGGAUUUAUUGGGUUUAAAGGGUGCGUAGGCGGGCUGUUAAGUCAGCGGUAAAAGCCCGGGGCUCAACCCCGGCGAGCCGUUGAAACUGGCUGUCGUGAGGUGUCGAGAGGUAUGCAGAAUGCGCAGUGUAGCGGUGAAAUGCUUAGAUAUCACGAAGAACUCCGAUUGCGAAGGCAGCUUACUAACCUGCCACUGACAUUGAUGCUCGAAAGUGUGGGUAUCAAACAGGAUUAGAUACCCGUGUAGUC